AGGAGUUGCCACCGAGAUCGGACACCGGAGAGCAGGCAUCUUCUGUCGCGUAAAGUAAGGCCGAUCUCCGGCCACCCGGCGAGGUGGAUGACAACAGCAUCCUUGUAGGCAGGCUGGCUGGAGUGUCGGGCUUCAGGAGACGCGGAGGGGAACCGAAGUAGAGAUAUGUGAGCUCUUUGAAAGCAGAACACUGUCGUUUCCAUGUUUUGAUCAUUCAGAGAUUAUGAAGGCACAGUUCCUGCCUUUGAUUUGCUUACAGUCAAGCGGAGUAGACACAGGUCAUGGUGGCAGUAUAGCCAGCCACUUAAGUAUUCUGAAGGAGAUUCAUCAGCAGGUUGCAGGUGAACAUGGCCUUGAGGUUUUCUGCUCUAGUUUGAACAAGUCCUGCCAGCCCUCACAUGGAGAGCAGUGAGAGCCCGAAGAGCAGUGGCUGGAUGAAACAAGUAUUUGGUGUGCACGUGUUAGCCCUUGGGGAUUGAGUGAUGAACAAGACAGAUACUGUCCUGCCUUCAUGGAAUUAGGUGUUACAAAGAUCAUUUCAAAAUUAAAGAGGCCAGGCGGGUCUCCUGGUUCCUCCAGUACAGGAAGCUCACGCCUGCCCAGGGGCCAGGUGCUGCCUGCAUCCACUGUCUCAGGCCUCAGCCCUUCCCAUGCAUCAGGUCUCAGUUCAGACGUCUACUCUAUCCAAAGACAACCAAUCCCUCAAUGCAUCCUUGGACUUUGGAGAUGGAAAAGGCAGCCCAGAGUGGACAAGGAUGGGAGGGCCAAACCCCCCAACCGUGAGCCUGAAGCAACCGGUUAAUAUUUCUGCCUCCCCCAGCCCCACACAGGCUCACCCACAACCAAGAAACACUCCUUGUUUUUCUUCCAUAAUUCUCCAAUGGCAGCACCUCCCUCCAUCCCAAGCUUUCAAGAACAUCCUUAUUUUCAAAUUCUGAAAUUGUUCAGUCCAGGUAAGACUUAAAGGAAUGAACUCAGCCUUUCCUUGCUGGUUAGGGGCUGGAAGACCCUAACAUGACAAAGGUGAGAAGAGAAAGAACAUGUAUCCCCACGUGAUGGAGUUCAGGAUGCAAGAAGAUGCCUUCUAUACCCUGAAGAGAACAGCCCCAUCAGGGGAUGCAGUAAGAAGAGGGAUGGCUCCAGAUGGAAGCAGGAGGGUGAUGGUCUGCAUGGGACCUGGACACAGGAGGGUGAGGAAGAAUCUCCAUGUUUCUCAAGUGCUGACUUGGGUGAAAGUGCCUUUUCUUCCAAAAGACUGGGCCUGAUUACUUGGGCAACACCAUCCCUAGACCAUCCAAAGGACUUCAUAGCUCAGUGAAAUCUCCCCUUGACCCAGUAAGUCUAAGAAUGGCCUCCAAGAUAUAUAAUUAAGGACAUUCAUUUCACUAUGGUUUAUAAAGGUGAAAAACCUAGAAACAGCAUCCAACAGUUGAGGAUUAAGUAAACAGAUUAAGGUAUAUAGCCAUCAGGGUGAUGUUGUAGAAGAAUUUAUCAGUGCAAGAAAAUAUUCAUCACAAUUGUUUUGCUAUAAAAAGAAAGCAGAUUACAAAACAGUAAUUCCAUUUUUAUUUUUUAAAAAUCUGUAUAAAGGAAAAACCAAAUGAUAUACAAAACAUUGUUCAGAAUGUUGCUGGGUGUUGGUGAGAAAAGAAA